rnacentral:rRNA from 1 species
AUACGGAGGGUCCAAGCGUUAUCCGGAUUCAUUGGGUUUAAAGGGUCCGCAGGCGGGGAAAUAAGUCAGUGGUGAAAGCCUACAGCUCAACUGUAGAACUGCCAUUGAUACUGUUUUUCUUGAGUAUAGAUGAAGUGGGCGGAAUAUAUCAUGUAGCGGUGAAAUGCAUAGAUAUGAUAUAGAACACCGAUUGCGAAGGCAGCUCACUAAACUAUUACUGACGCUCAGGGACGAAAGCGUGGGGGGCGAACAGGAUUAGAAACCCCGGUAGUCC